rnacentral:rRNA from 1 species
CGGGCGCACGGCGGAUGCCUUGGCACAGGGAGCCGAUGAAGGACGCGGCAAGCUGCGAUAAUCCCCGGCGAGGAGCACACAUCCUUCGACCCGGGGGUCUCCGAAUGGGCGAACCCAUCCGUAGAGGUACGGAUAUCCCGGCCCUGAACGCAUAGGGGCCGGGAGGACAACCCGGGGAACUGAAACAUCUAAGUACCCGGAGGAGAGGAAAUCAAUCUCGAGACUCCCCGAGUAGCGGCGAGCGAAAGGGGACCGAUGGCCAAACCGUCGAGCGGGCAUACCCGGCAGGGGUUCCGCCGGCGGGGUUGCAGGGCCGCGCAUCCGGGGGCUGCCGCCCCCGGGCGCAGGUCCGGCUGGGGAGCGGAACGGCAUGGGAGGGCCGGCCGCAGCGGGUGACAGCCCCGUACGCGAACCCAGACCGGACGGCGCGACGCGGUCCCUGAGUAGGGCCGGGCACGUGAAACCCGGUCCGAACCUGGGUGGACCACCAUCCAAGCCUGAGUACUACCCUGUGACCGAUAGCGCACCAGUACCGUGAGGGAAAGGUGAAAAGCACCCCGGGAGGGGAGUGAAACAGUACCUGAAACCGUGCGCCCACGAGCAGUCGGAGCACCUUUAUGGUGUGACGGCGUGCCUUUUGUAGAAUGAGCCAGCGAGUCGCUGGCGCGGGGCGAGGUUAACCGAAAGGGAGCCGAAGCGAAAGCGAGCCUUAACAGGGCGACUUGAGUCCCGCGCCGCGGACGCGAAGCCGGGUGAGCUAUCCGUGGGCAGGCUGAAGCGGGGGUAAGACCCCGUGGAGGGCCGAACGCACGUCGGUUGAAAACGGCGGCGAUGACCUGCGGAUAGGGGUGAAAGGCCAAUCAAACCCGGAGAUAUCUCGUUCUCCCCGAAAUAGCUUUAGGGCUAGCGUCGCGCGUUCACCGCCGGAGGUAGAGCACCGGAUGGACGAGGGGGCUUCGCCGCCUACCGAAUCCAACCGAACUCCGAAUGCCGGCGGCCCAGAGCGCGGCAGUCAGAGCAUGUGGGCUAAGCUGUGUGCUCGAGAGGGAAACAGCCCGGACCGCCCGCUAAGGUCCCCAAGUUCCAGCCGAGUGGCAAAGGAUGUGCGUCCGCCCAGACAACCAGGAUGUUGGCUUAGAAGCAGCCAUACAUUCAAAGAGUGCGUAACAGCUCACUGGUCGAGUGGACAUGCGCCGACAAUACACGGGGCUAAGCUGGACACCGAAGCGGCGGGAUUUUAAUUCAUUAGAAUCGGUAGGGGAGCUUCCCAUGGGCGGAGAAGCCGGAGGGCGACCGACGGUGGAGCGCAUGGGAGUGAGAAUGCUGGCAUGAGUAGCGAGAGACGAGAGAGUAACUCGUCCGCCGUGAACCCGAGGUUUCCUGGGCAAGGCUAAUCCUCCCAGGGUCAGUCGGGGGCUAAGGCGAGGCCGGGAGGCGUAGCCGACGCGCAGCAGGCAGACAUUCCUGCACCGCGCACGCGGCGCUACGACCGACGGGGCGACGGAUGGGGGUGGCUCGGCGGGGUUCUGGACGUCCCCGUGAUGGAGCGCGGCCCGCGGACCAGGGAAAUCCGGUCCGCACGAGGGCGAGGCUCCGGACGAAGCGACUGAGCGAAGCGAGUGAGCCCGAGGUCCCUAGAAAAACCCCUAGGCAGGCGCGUGCGCGCCCGUACCGCAAACCGACACAGGUGGGUGGGUAGAACAUACCGAGGCGAUCGGGUCAACCAUGGUCAAGGAACUCGGCACAAUGGCCCCGUAACUUCGGGAGAAGGGGUGCCCGCGCGUACGUGAACGGACUUGCUCCGGGAGCGGAGGCGGGCCGCAGUGGAGAGGCCCAAGCGACUGUUUACCAAAAACACAGGUCUCUGCUAAAUCGAAAGAUGACGUAUAGGGGCUGACGCCUGCCCGGUGCCGGAAGGUUAAGAGGAGGAGUGAGAGCUCUGAAUUGAAGCCCCGGUAAACGGCGGCCGUAACUAUAACGGUCCUAAGGUAGCGAAAUUCCUUGUCAGGUAAGUUCUGACCCGCAUGAAAGGCGUAAUGAUUUGGGCACUGUCUCAACAGCCCGCCCGGCGAAAUUGUAGUACCGGUGAAGAUGCCGGUUACCCGCGACAAGACGGAAAGACCCCAUGGAGCUUUACUGUAGCCUAAUAUUGGGUUUCGAUGUUGCAUGCACAGGAUAGAUGGGACACUGGGAAGCAGGUGCUUUGGCGCUUGUGGAGUGGCCGUUGGGAUACCAUCCUUGCGAUAUUGGAAUUCUAACCUGCGCCUUUGAAUCAAGGCGGGGGACAUUGUUAGGUGGGCAGUUUGACUGGGGCGGUCGCCUCCUAAAGAGUAACGGAGGCGUUCAAAGGUUCGCUCAGCUUGAACGGAAAUCAAGCAAAAGAGUGCAAACGCAGAAGCGAGCCUAACUGCGAGACUGACGGGUCGAGCAGUAACGAAAGUUGGAGUUAGUGAUCCGGUGGUAUGUGAGUGGAAAUGCCAUCGCUCAACGGAUAAAAGCUACCCUGGGGAUAACAGGCUGAUCUCCCCCAAGAGU